ACCUAUGGCCAGACGGGACUGAUUGCACCUGAUCCCCACCAAUCUUGGAAGCUAAUCAGUCUUGGACCUGGCUAGUACCUGAAUGGGAGACCACCUGGGAAUCCUGGGUACCAUAAGUA
rnacentral:rRNA from 1 species